GACGAACGCUGGCGGCGUGCUUAACACAUGCAAGUCGAACGGAAAGGCCCUGCUUUUGUGGGGUGCUCGAGUGGCGAACGGGUGAGUAACACGUGAGUAACCUGCCCUUGACUUUGGGAUAACUUCAUGAAACUGGGGCUAAUACCGGAUAGGAGCUCCUGCUGCAUGGUGGGGGUGGGAAAGUUUCGGCGGUUGGGGAUGGACUGGCGGCUUAUCAGCUUGUUGGUGGGGUAGUGGGUUACCAAGGCUUCGACGGGUUGCCGGCCUGAGAGGGUGACCGGGCACAUUGGGCCUCAGGAACGGCCCAUACUCCAACGGGGGGCAGGAGUGGGAAAUAUUGCACAAUGGGCGGAAGCCGGAUGCAGCAACGCCGCGUGCGAGAUGACGGCUUUUGGGUUGGAAACCGCUUUCGCCUGGAACGAAGAGUGAGUGACGGUAAUGGGUAAAGAAGCACCGGCUAACUACGUG
rnacentral:rRNA from 1 species